rnacentral:rRNA from 1 species
AGCGAACGCUGGCGGCAGGCCUAACACAUGCAAGUCGAACCAACCUGUCGGGGUUUGUGGCGGUCGGGUGAGUAAGACGUGGGAACGAGCCUUUAGGUACGGUAUAACUCAGGGAGACUUGUGCUAAUACCACAUGUGCCAUUCGGGGGAAAGAUUAAUUGCUGUUAGAGCGGCCGACGUCUGAUUCGCUAGUUGGUUGAGGUCAUGGCACAUCUAUGCGACGAACAGUGGCUGGUCUGUGAGGAUGAUCAGCCACAUUGGGACUGAGACACGGCCCAAACUCGUACGGGAGGGAGCAGAAGGGAAUCUUGCGCACUGGGGGAAAGCCUGACGCAGCCGUGCCGCGGGAAUGAUGAAGGUCUUAGGAUUGUAAAAUUCUUUCACCGGAGACGAUAAUGACGGUACCCGGAGAAGAAGCCCCGGCUAACUUCGUG